UGUCCCAAAUUUCUUGUCUUAGAUUUGUCUAGAUACGGAUGUAUCUAAUACUAAAAUGUGACUUGAUACAUCCGUAUCUAGACAAAUCUAAGACAAGAAUUUUGGGACGAAGGGAGUACUUU
rnacentral:pre_miRNA from 1 species